rnacentral:rRNA from 1 species
AUUGAACGCUGGCGGCAUGCCUUACACAUGCAAGUCGAACGGCAGCAUGGAGAGCUUGCUCUCUGAUGGCGAGUGGCGAACGGGUGAGUAAUGCAUCGGAACGUACCGUGUAAUGGGGGAUAACGUAGCGAAAGUUACGCUAAUACCGCAUACGACCUGAGGGUGAAAGCAGGGGAUCGCAAGACCUUGCGUUAUACGAGCGGCCGAUGUCAGAUUAGCUAGUUGGUGAGGUAAAGGCUCACCAAGGCGACGAGCUGUAGCGGGUCUGAGAGGAUGAUCCGCCACACUGGGACUGAGACACGGCCCAGGCUCCUACGGGAGGCAGCAGUGGGGAAUUUUGGACAAUGGGGGCAACCCUGAUCCAGCCAUGCCGCGUGAGUGAAGAAGGCCUUCGGGUUGUAAAGCUCUUUCGGCCGGGAAGAAAUCGCACAGGCUAAUACUCUGUGUGGAUGACGGUACCGGCAUAAGAAGCACCGGCUAACUACGUGCCAGCCGCCGCCGUAA